AGAGAGAGAUUUCUCCUCCAUUGUUGAUAAGAAUAGAUUUCCUUAUAGAUAUAUUUAUCUCCAUGUUGAUUGAGAUAGAUUUUUUGAGAAAUAGAUUUCUCACUCAUUGUUGAUUGGGAUCGAUUUCCUAAGAGAUAGAUUUCUCACCCGUUGUUGAUAGGGAUCGAUUUCCUGAGAGAUAGUGUUUAGCACACAUUCUUGCAUAUAAUAGAUAUAUUUCCCCCCGUUAUUGUACAUGUGCACAUACUAAAUCAUUCGAUUUAACAUUUUGCUUUCAAGUUAUUUUUGUGGGUUGUGUAGAAAAUUCGAUAGUAAAGAAGCCAUCAUGGCCAUCCCUACAAGUCUCGAGUAGAAAAAGGUGAAUUCUGGUGGCCGGGAGAAGCCCCAAAGCAAUGCCUUGAGAGCCAAAGGGCUAGGAUUCCAAGACUGGCCUAGAAGAAUUUACUACCGGUAUUUACUUUUGGUACUAUCGGUAGUGUGAGAACCAGUGGCCAAACCAAGAAUUCGAUUGGGCUAGAAGAAUUUACUACUGGUAUUUACUUUUCGUACUACCGAUAGUGUGAGAACUAGUGGCCAAACCAAGAACUCAACGACUGGUAGAUGGCAAAACUAGUGGCAAAACCAAUAAUUAUACUACUGGUAGUUACUUUUGGUACUACCGGUAGUGUAAGAACCAUAGGCAAAAUAAGAAAGGGACUACUGGUAAUACUAAAGGCUACUACCAAUAGAUCAGGGCAUCUAGAGGAAUCAAAUGUAUAACCGGCAGUAGCUUAUGCUGCUACUACCAAUAAUACAAGCUUCGGGGCAGAUUUGUUCAAUUUUUCUACACAAGUCCUAGGGGCAUUUUAGUCUUUUCACAAGAUAUUUUUUUGGGGCCUAUUUAUACACUUUUUCUUAGAAUUGUAACCACUUUUUGGCAUUAGGUUUUCUUUCAUUUUAGGUUUCGAGUUAUUGUAGGGGGAGAAGGAGAAGAAGGUGAUGUUGGUGUGGCAUUCAUUGCUUGAAAUCUCUCUCUUGCUUCAUUUACUCUUAAGGAUAUAUCUAUUUUACUUUGAAGGUUGUAAGUACUCUUUUUAACAUUUAUUUCAAUUAAUUUCUCUUUCAAGCUUUUGCAUUCUUGUUUUAUUUUCAUAGUUUUUCUUUUAUAACAUUUAGUUUACCCUUGUUGAUGAACUCUACAUCAUUGAUGGUCGAACUCUACAACCACCGAAACAUUGUUAAGAGAGUCAAUAGUUCAUAAAGCUUAUCAAACCUUCAUUCUAAUUAUUCUAAAAUUACAGAAAUGGCAUGAAGAAAUUGAGGAGCACAAAUCAAACCAAGAUAACUUACUUUUGAGAUAUGCUCUCGAAGAUUACGGUGAACCCCAGAAGAUUCAAUACAGAUACGCACACCAAGGUUUAAAGAAGCCAAUUAAAUCUAGUUCCCGUGCACCACAAUCCGCACACUUAUCAUUUUUAGGCACUCUUUUUAAUGCAUCAACUGGCUUCUUGCUUUUUACACUAUAUAUUGUAGAUGUUCCACGCUUCUUGAUGCCCGCACCAAAUUCCUAGAAGAAAGUUUUUUCUCAAGCCAUACGUUGUCCAUUUAUGCUCUCAGGUACCCGGGAACUCAAUAACAAAGCAGCAACUCUAGUUAUUUUGUGUAUCCAGGCCAGUUGUUCUACUGCACUCUCGGCCUAUAUCACCAAACAAUUAUCACCAACAUUUGCUGAAUAUUGUUAAGCAUGCAGAUAAAUAUUGACCAAUCCACCUACUCACCAUUCAAUGUGAAUAUCAAAAUGAAAAUAAGCUAUCUUAGCAUAGCAUGAACUAAUAUUUAUACGUAAAGUUAACCUUAGAAUAAUACCAUGGUGGUAUAGUUCUUUGUUGGUGAAAUUAUCCUGAAGCAGAAUCAAUUUGACUACCACUUGCCAGUUUUCUUCUUCACCACGAUUGUGUUGGACAGCCAGCUCAGGUAAAGAACAUCUGUUAUUGCACUUACCUCUUUUAUCUUCUCUAACUCCUCUAUCACGACGUCCACAUACUCGGUUGCAGACCUUCUUUCUCGCUGUUUUACUGGGCGGGCUUUUAGAAGGACGUUUAGCUCAUGUUUGGUAAAGGUGGGGGUCAAUCUUAGGUAUCUUGUACGGUGUCCAUACGAAGAUCUCAAUAUUAACUUUUAGAAACUGGAUGAGAUCAAUUCUCCCUCGCUCUUUCAGGUUUGCACCAAUGAGAAAGAAACGAUUCGAGCUUGGUUCAUCAAGUUCAUAACGCAUCAGGUCUUCCACGAAUUUGGCUUUGGGGUUCCUUCUGACAUCUUCUAGAACCUUGAUCUCUUCCUUGACUAGUUGUACUUCUUUCAUGACUGCCUUAAUGGAGACCAUGGCAAGAUAGCAUUGUUUGGCUACCAUUUGGUUUCCAUAAAAGGCUUUCUACACCUCGUGAGUGUAUGUGUGUGAAUUUAAUGACUUGAUGCAAUAUGGUGGCAACUCCUUUCAUCCUGUGUAACUAGUCUAGGCCAA
rnacentral:lncRNA from 1 species